UACGUAGGCAGCAAGCGUUGUUCGGAGUUACUGGGCGUAAAGGGUGUGUAGGCGGUUGUUUAAGUUUGGUGUGAAAUCUCCCGGCUCAACUGGGAGGGUGCGCCGAAUACUGAAUGACUAGAGUGUGGGAGAGGUGAGUGGAAUUCCUGGUGUAGCGGUGAAAUGCGUAGAUAUCAGGAGGAACACCGGUGGUGUAGACGGCUCACUGGACCAUAACUGACGCUGAGACGCGAAAGCGUGGGGAGCAAACAGG
rnacentral:rRNA from 1 species